CAGCACCUCAAGUGGUCAGGAUGAUUAUUGGGCCUAAAGCAUCCGUAGCCGGCUCUGUAAGUUUUCGGUUAAAUCUGUAUGCACAACAUACAGGCUGCCGGGAAUACUGCAGAGCUAGGGAGUGGGAGAGGUAGACGGUACUCGGUAGGAAGGGGUAAAAUCCUUUGAUCUAUUGAUGACCACCUGUGGCGAAGGCGGUCUACCAGAACACGUCCGACGGUGAGGGAUGAAAGCUGGGGGAGCAAACCGGAUUAGAUACCAGAGUAGUCC
rnacentral:rRNA from 1 species